ensembl:snRNA U6 U6 spliceosomal RNA
GUGCUGGCUUCGAAGGCACGUAUAUUCAACUCAGAACAAUACAGAGAAAAUUAGCAUGGCCUUGUUCAAGGGUGACAUGCGAAUUCAUGAAGCAGUCUGCAUUUCU